CUCAGCUGCGGGAUCAACAGAGCAGAUUUGUACUCAAGACCUUUCAUAUGCACCACCAUGGCCGUUUACAUCUGUGGCUGAGCUCAGGCUACAGACCUGUAUGUCUGUGUCUAAGGAUAAGGCCCUGUGCCCAUUUUAAAGAUGAGAAAAUUAAAAUUCAUCAGUCGGGUUACUACGGCAGACGUCGUGGCUCUUGUCAUUUAUUAUUCUAAUUCAAAUUUGGCUCAGCACCCCGCUCCCCUUUUGUGUUCUUACGGGUUCUAGCACAUGAAUGAAGGCAGCAAAAAUCACAGACAGAAACACACGGGCAUUUAAAAAUAAUUUGAAAGUGACAUUUUAAUAAACAUUUUCUUUAAUUUUGUAACUAGAAUGAUAGAAUAAUAGAUCAUAUAUUUUCUUACCCCAAACAGAGUGAACUCUCUUUGAACCCUUUGCUUGAAAUAAGCACUCACUGACAAGAAUAUAUUUAAAUAAACAACCUCUGAAUAGAAUAUUUCCUUCAGAUAUGGUAGACAACUGGCAUCUCUUAAAGUAAUUCUGACCAAUUACUUUUCUCCUCUGUGCUUAUUAAAAUUCUCCCUGUUGAAUGCUAAAAUUCCACAGGCCUUCUGGAUCUCCUGGUGAUUUACCAUCUCCCCAGUCUCCCACUGAGCUUCAUGACGUCAUCGUCCCCAUACAAGCAAUAGUCAGGGUUAGCAAUGACUGCGGUUCUUAAUGACAUCACCACCCCAUAUGGUACUGGGGUUAACAAUGACUGCCCUUUCAUGACAUCAUCACACCAUAUGGUACUCAGGGUUAGCAAUGACUGCUCUCCAUGCACGUCCCAUUUCUCCCAGUGGUCAUGGUGGCCUUGGAGACAGCAAUCCUCUUUACCGACUGUUUUUAUGCACAGCUGCACCCAAGGUCUCAAUAGUGUUAUAAUAUUGGAGAAUUUUUUUAAAGAUUUAUUUUUAUUUAUGUUUAUGUGUGUGUGAAUGUACACCAAGUGUGUGUGACAGAAGCCAGGUGAGAGUAUAGGACCCCCCUGGAGCUGGAGUUACAGGAGACUAGGAGCUACCUGACCUGGGUGCUGGGAAUCAGAUUCAAGUCCUCUGGAAUUAACUACUGAACCAGGUAGCUAACCACUGGGCCACCAGUCCAGCCCCUGAAGGAUUUUUUUGUAAUGAGGAAAAAAAAAAACCCGCAGAGUGUAAAAUGUUGCUGUUAUCCUCUUUCUUACAUUGUAUUUUAAAUAAUAAUAAUAAUUAAUAAUAAGUAUUAUUAUUAUUAUUAUUAUUAUUAUUAUUAUUAUAUAAUGAAGGUGUCAACAAAGAACUGGUUCCAAGCGGACACAGACCAUUAGGGUGUUUUGCUGGCUUGGCUUUGGUUUGUACAACUCAGCAGUGAAUAGUCUGUUACCGACAUCUUACCAGUGAGGACUCUACAGCAGGCGCCAGCUAAAUGAUGUAUCUACCAUGUAGGUUCUGUAAGACGCAUUCUCUCUGAUAGGCAGCCUCAGAUCUACUGUCAUCUUCAAUGCUCAUUCUCUCAGAUUGGGGUUUGGUCAUCCGGGGAUGGGCAGGAGCCGCAUUGCCACCUCAUAGGCAGGUGGCAGAGUUAACUGAGACUGUGUGGGCAUGGAGUUCACCCGAAACUGGAGUUUGCAUAAGACUAACAUUCUCUCCAUCUCCUCAGGAGGCUGGUGUUUGUUUUAUUUGGAGGGCUAGCAGGGAUCGGUCCACAACUCAGAAAACGAUGUCAAUAGCCAUGCCCUAUCUGCCUGACACUUGGUCUCUACCCGUGUCCUGUCUAUCGGGGGAUGGAGAGAUGGCUCAGCAGUUAAGAGCACUGGCUGCUCUUGCAGAAGAGCUGGGUCCAGUUCCCAGCACCCACAUGGCCCCUCACAAACCAUCUGCAACUCCAGUGCCAGGGGAAUCUACUGCCCUCUUGUGGCUCCUGCUGGUACUAACGCGUGUGGUGCAUUGCACGAACAUUUUAAGAUCCUCGCUGUGUAAAAUAUAAAAGAGGGAACUUUGGCCUUAAGCGAGUGUUCCAUACACUGAUUCCUUCGAGGUGUCUAAUUCUAGGCUUUAGGGUAUGCACACGGAGGUUUCAGUAGGAGCUGAGUCACGUGGGCAUCCAAGGAAUUUUAAGAAGGUCAUGUAAGAACAUGAUGGCUGGGAGUGCAGUUAGAAAAGUGAUCUGAACAAAACUUAAAGGUAAGAAGAAUUUUCACUGGGAAAACAAGGACAGUGCAAGUCCCCCAAACAUAUCAGCAGCUAAAACAAUUCUGCCUCUGCUUUGUCUUCCUAACCCUACCUCUGAAGUAGGAGACGCAUUGCUUUCGAGAAGCAAAUACAAUCUUAGUCUUUUCCUUUAGUAGAAAACAAAAGAUCUCGCUGGGUUUAAAAAAGACAACCCGUUCCCACUGGUGGCCGCCUUAAAGGCUUUGUACAUAUGAGUUUGGCUGCUCUGAAAACAGACAGGAUCUUGGCCUGCUCUCUGUUCCCGAAGUGACACUUGAUCGUGUCUCAAGGCUACCAGGUGGGGACACUCGGCAGACUCUUGCAUGUAACUAGGUCACUCUGCCACGUUCCCCGAGAUUUGAUAGACUGCAUUUUCAAACUCAACCGUGUAACCCACAUUUUCAGAGGAAAAAAAGGAGUCUACCAGGGAAUAUAGGAAUAUAAGACCAAGAAGUGUAUUUCCCCCGGGGCCCUGCUCUGAAGAUAAUUUAUUUUAAAUGAUUAAGAUUCUGGGGCUGGAGAGAUGGCUCAGUGGUUAAGAGCACUGACUACUCUUCCAGAGGUCCUGAGUUCAAUUCCCAGCAACCACAUGGUGGCUCACAGCCAUCUGUAAAGAGAUCUGAUGCCCUCCCCUGGUGUGUCUUAAGACAGCUACAGUGUACUCAUAUACAUAAUAUAAAUCAAUAAAUUUUUAAAAAAAGAUUAUAUCUCAAGGGUCUGGAGAGAUGGUUAAGGGCACCGGCCACUCUUGCAGAAGACUCAGCCACAUGGUGGUUCACAGUUGUGUAACUCUAGUUCCGAGGGAUCUGACUUAUAGUGUCUGAUGGCAUCAGGCACCUAUAUGGUACAUAGGCAUAUGGUACCCAUAUGGUACACACAGACAAAAUAUCUAUAAACUAUAAAGUAAGUUUACCCCAGAAUGCUCCGAUACACCAGGCUAAGGCCGGAUGCCUACACGCUCACGGGAGCAGAGCCUGCCAAUCCCAAGGCCUCUUUGAGAGGAACAAGGAAACGCCUUAGGAUUGGCUGCCCCUCCCCCUCUGCAGGAAAACAGACCUCAGAAAACGUCUGCCAGAGAGCAAAACAUGAGAAUGUUUCUUAAGACUAAAAAGGAAUUGAUUAUCAGAAUAUGCCUUAGGAACUUGACGGAUAAAACGGAGUUCAGGCUCCGUUGAAACGGUAAGGAGCAGUUAUAAGCUAUAAUUACAUCCGGAAGAGCAUCUGCUAGGGCUACUGCUCCUCAACCUGUGAGUCUCGACUCCUCGGGGAAUCACAUAAUCAGAUAUCCUGCAUAUCAGAUAUUUGCAUUAUAAUACAUGACAGUAACAGAAUUACAGUUCUGAGAUACUAACGAAAAUAAUUUUAUGGUUGGGGAAUCAAUGUUGUUGGGAUUCAGACCUGGGACAAACAGCUGAGGUGUAUGUUUUAAUACCAAAGAGGACCUAACCUCCAGCUUCUCCCAGCAUCCCUCAGUCCCUACUUGUUAUAGAAACAAUGGCGUGGCCCGGCCUCUACCCCGAACUUUCCAACCCACUCCCCAAGGUCUUCCAGACAUUUUGGUCUCUGCCUCUCUCUUCUCCAUCUACAGGCACGCUUUCUCUUUGUCUCUUUCCUUUUUCCUUCCCCUGUGUGGUUAGUGAACUUGCCCGAGAGGUGCCCCAGUAGACCUGCCUUUAUACUUGAACUUGGCUCAAAUUGGCUCACUUAUCAACCACAAGAGGAGGAACUGAAUUAAGGGGUUGCAGCAUUGGGAACGUUGAGAACCACUGUGCUAUGGCCUUGUACUCAAAGGCUGGGACUACACUCGACCUCUUUCUUUGUAAUAUCCUGAAGGAGCUGUAAACUGGGGGAAACAGGCCCAUUUACCAGUUAAGAAUGCAAACCUUUGGGCUGGAGGGAUGGCUCAGCAGUUAAGAGCACUGGCUGCUCUUCCAGAGGUCCUGAGUUCAAAUCCCAGCAACCACAUGGUGGCUCACAACCAUCUGUAAUGAGAUUAGAUGCCCUCUUCUGGUGUGUCUGAAGACAGCCACAGUGUACUCAUAUACAUAAAAUAAAUAAUUAAAAAAAAAAAAGAAUGCAAACCUUUGAAAAACCAAUACUUCGUCUGAAGUAGGCAAGAGAAAGAAGACACAGGUAAAAAUUACUGACCUUGGGGUUGGGGAUUUAGCUCAGUGGUAGAGCGCUUGCCUAGGAAGCGCAAGGCCCUGGGUUCGGUCCCCAGCUCCGAAAAAAAGAACCAAAAAAAAAAAAAAAAAAUUACUGACCUUAAGUGAAGACUCGGUCACUUCCCCCAAAGAUAACACAUCUCGCUAUGGUUUUCUGGUGAGCCCUGACUAGCGCUCUCAUCAAAAAUCAUAAUGCCACCCAUAAAAAAUUCUGAGUCUGAUGUGGUCUACAUAUAUAUCCCUAUACAUAAUUAUGGAUAUAUAUAUAUAUUCCAAUACACAAUUAUAGGUGUGUGUAUGAAUUAAAGAGAUUAUAUUUCCCUUCUGUUAAAGAAGGGAAUGCACACACCUUUUCAAUACGUCAGGAAUUUAUGCUCUGGACAGAGCGAAAACUCACCAGUAGAGAAACAGGUAUUUCCCCGGGAAAUAGGUCCCUACCAGGAGCAGUCAGUCACGGCAGACCUGUGUCGGGCUUCACAGACGCCGCACAGGGCCAGGCAGACCACCAUUGAUCACUGUCAUCCCUUUUCCAUUUGAUUUCAUUACUGCACCAUCUUCCUGGGCAGAGUAACAACAGCAGCAAACAGGUUGCUCUCCUGCUAUUUCCUCUUACUUGACUUCCCUUUCUGAGGCGGAAGGACAGUUGGAGGGUGGCCCCUUGGUCCUCCACCCCAGUCUCCAGAAGACCUCUGCCCCCUCCCCCGGGCACCAGGUUCCCGGUCGUAUCUACAAUCUAUUACUUGACACAGUGGAAGAGGGUAAUAAACACAGCCAACAAGUUCCUUCCCCAGGCACGGUCUACCUGUGGAGGAGGUCCGCCUUCCUCAAGAUCGUUUUCAGACUUCUGAGUACCCCUGGGAACGAGGAGCCGAACAUUCUGGAAGUGGAGCUGCUCACCUCCCUUUCAAAUCAUACACUUAUCCCCUGCAGCUGCAUACAGCGACACCUAGUGGCGGCAAUUAGUACACAAGGAGAGGGCAGCUUGAAGCACUGACCUACCUAUCAUCACCAGCCUGUCCUGUUGGGUGUAGGCUGGAUCUCAGUCCGGCUACCUUCCCUACGACAGACAUCAUCCUCAAAGGGCUCCAUGUCUACUUUCUUACUGCCUCUUACACCGGAUAACCAUACUGUGAUGCGGCUGCACAACAAAAUCAGAUAUUCGGGAAAAUCUCGUCUUAACUUUUUCAUUAAAAGGAAUGAGGCAGUAAACGGAAAUCACAGGAACGUCUUCCAAAGAUGCUCCACCGCAGCCUUCCAACCUCUGGGAAGCGUCACCCCGGGCUGAGGUUAGUCAACAGACAUUAAUUUCAACCUGGGGCUGUCCUGGUGGGCAGGAAGUAAUCACAUGAGCCUCCAAUCAGAGAGGGUGCCCUCUGCCUGGGAACGACAUGUAAGUCCCACCCCUCGGGGGCGGGGAUUUGAUAUGCCUCUGUGAUGUCAUAGAGAAAGUGCCAUGAAUGAGUAGUGAUGUUUUGAGAUAGGGACUAUGGAAGAUCGUUAGGAUUAGAUGACGUCAUGGGGGUGGGGCCCUGGUCUCAGAAUUAGUGCCCUCAGAAGAGCCGGCAGAAAUCUGUUUCUCUCUGUGUUAUGUGAUUAGACAGUGACACAGUUGCCAUCUGCCUGGAUAAUACCUAACUAUGCCGGCACACUUCAGAAUGGCCAAAAAAUUAUUAUUGUGUAAGCCACCUAGCUUGUGGUUGAUACUUGGUUACAACAUCCAAAGUGAGAGCCAAUAACAGGAACCACCUCCUUUAAGUUCUCCUAGUACUUGGCAUGAGCCAGGAAACAGCCUUUCCAGAGCCUCUAGGGAAGAGUUCAGGUUGGUCAAGACCUCGGUUCCGACGGUGAACAAAGGGUCAAGCUUCCUGAGCCAUACACAGUACUGCCCGCCCAACAGUAGAGGCACGCACGCACGCACACACGCAAGCACGUACGCACGCACGCACGCAUGCGCACUAAGCUCAGUUCUCUGUCACAUUCUCUACUUCCUAGUUGUUCCAGGGCCCACCGGCUCACCCACCUCGAGCCUCCCCUGCUUUUCAUCUGGAUUUCAUUCGGUCUUCUCAGUAGAGACCUUCCGUUUUCUCCAAACACAGGCAAUUUUUGCCAGACUUUCUCCACAACGUAGAAGACAGAAUUCUGUACUCUAGAAAAUGUUCCUACCAAGGACAUGCUCGCUAGCCUAGGCAUUAUCCUUGUAUCAGGAAGAAGAAUUUCGUCAUCUACCAGAACCUGAGAUCGCCUGAGCCAUCUGUUAUUACAGGGCAUGGGGACUGUGACACCAAAGGUAUUAGCAUCGAAUGGAAGGUUGAACCUGUCCAAACCUCAGAAAUCUCAAAAGUUAAGAACAGAAUCUCACCCUGAGACCAGCAGGAGUGGGAUAGCUCCGUCCCUGUUUCCAUGCCUGCCUAGGAGCAUGUAACCAGGCCCAGUCAGGUGAUCACAAGUAGUCAGUCACACUGUUCAACACCGGAAACUUCCACACGCAAAUGAGGCACCUCAGUAGCUUUACCCUUUAGGCAGUGAUCUUUGCCUCCCCUGGAUAUUCUCACACCUUUCCCCAAAAUUAUAUAACCCUCGGUUCACCCCGAGUACAGCGUAUGUGUUCAAGCCUACCCCCAAUAAAGAAAUAUGAGUACGCUAAGGCCAUCUUAGAGAGCUGCUUCAGUAAAGAUCGUCAGAGAAGGCCUCCUCUCUCCUCUCACGGAGAGGUGACUUAGCACCAGGAGGAAGUGAUGUGUCCGGGGCACGCACUCCCAACCAGACCAAGAUCCUGCUCGAUCUGGACUCUGCUUCCCCCCACCAGCCUGGCAGACAGCGGCAUCUGACCUGUGGGAGGGAAAGGUGGACUGCAGACCCCACCUGUUCGGAUUAAAUCUGUCCUUUCUGAGUCAUGUUCCAGCCAUACCAUAGCCAUGACUUCUGGGACACAUGCAAAGCCGUACCAUAGCCAUGACUACUGGGACACAAGCAAAGGCCAAGUUAGGGCAUACCGGCUUUCUCUCUUGCUCUGAGCAACCUUGGCCACUCUGAGGACAAACCAGUUGAGCACCUUGAGGUUAGAGAUCUGUGGAGACAGGCUUGCUGCACUCAUUUCGUACUGAGGGUCCAGGAAUGUGAAAAACAGCUUGUGUCUAAGCCAAGGUUACACACACACACACACACACACUCACACACACAAAUACAUUCAUACACAUACGCAACACAUAUACUCAUAUACAACACACUCAUACACAUACACAACACGUACACAUGCAUAUACACUCAUACAUAUACACAUACAUAACACAUUCACACACACACUCAUACACAACACACAUGCUUGCACACAUACACAGACAUGCUCAUGCACAUACACAACACACACAGCACAAACACACUCAUACACAUACACAACACAUACCCACUCAUACACAACACACGCAUGUACGCAAAUACAUAACACACUCGUGCAUACACAUACCCAUACACAUAUACACAAUACACUCACACACAUGUAUACAAUACACUCUUACACACACGUGCACACACAUAUAUACAUACUCAUAUACUCAUACACACAACACAAAUGCACACACACACACAGUCAUGCACAUGUACACAGAGUCCUGGAUCAUGGUACUGUGGAGAGACAGAAGCAAUUACUGCUGAGACCUGGACUCGCAGGUCAGUCUGCAUUUGAACCUGGAGUUCAUGUUCACACUUCUUACUCCGAAAUGCAUCGGGUCUUAGAUUUGAUUUUGGGUGAAUCUUAGCUGAGAAGGCCCUCAGGUUCUGGGUAGAGGGAUGGGCAAAACACCAUAAAGGGGACACAGUUUUGUCUUUACUGCAAAGAAUCCCCAUAAAAAAAAUUUUUUUAAGGAAAAUUUGAUGAAAAAAGUAAAACCCUGGGUUGGGGAUUUAGCUUAGCGGUAGAGCGCUUGCCUAGCAAGUGCAAGGCCCUGGGUUUGGUCCCCAGCUCCAAAAAAAAAGAAAAAAAAAAAAAAGUAAAACCCACCCCUAAGGAGUUAACAAGCUAAAGAAUCAAGGAAGUGGGAGAUAUAAAGAGUAACUCUGAGAGGUGAUAGAGAAGUAAGAAAAACUCCACGUUUUGUUUUGUUUUGCUUUUUUGAGACAGGGAUUCUCUGUGUAACCCUGGCUGUCCUGGAGUUCACUCUGUAGACCAGGCUGGCCUUGGACUCACAGAGAUCCUCCUGCUUCUGCCUCCCGAGGGCUGGGAUUAAAGGCGUUCUUACAGAGGACCUGUGUUCGAUACCCAGCACUUACAUGGCAGCUCACAACCAUCUGUAACUCCAGUUCCAGGAGUUCUGACGCCCUCUUCUGGCCUCCACAGGUACUACUCACAGGUGGUGCACAGACAUACAAGAGGACAAGUAAUUAUUUAAAACUAUAAUAUGAAGCUGGAGAGAUGGCUCAGUGGUUAAGAGCACCGACUGCUCUUCCAAAGGUCCUAAGUUCAAUUCCCAGCAACUACAUGGUGACUCACAACCAUCUGUAAUGGGAUCUGGGGCCCUCUACUGGUGUACAUGCAUCUAAAGCACUCGUAUUAAAUAAAUAAAUCUGAUAGAAGAAAUAGACCUUCCCCAAAGGUACUCAAUGAGAGAAUUAAAAAAAACAUAAACUACAAAAUAACCACAAAUAGAAGACAUGUUUUAAAUGAUAUAACCCAAACCAAAAAUAUUAGGAAUAUUCAAAUAUAUUAAAGAAAAAGAGAGAUACACCUUAGACGUAAGAGAACUCUAGUCUUUGAAAUCAGAAAUUUUCAGAUGGACUGAAAGGCAAAUUCAACAGCUCUUAAAGGAUUGGUGAACUGAAAGAUAGUAUCUGAAGAAAUGACCCAGAAUCCAGCCUAAAGAGAAGAGAAAAAGGAGAAGUGACCUGAAUAAGAGACAAGGCAGCUAGACCCGGGAAAUUCUGACACAUCGUCUAAUUACAGUUCUGGGAGAGCUGAAAUGAGUUAUUACUUGUGAAUUCUCCCAACUGUGCCUAUCAAUUAAAUUGAAUCAUAAGCAGAGGAGAUCCAUGCUGAGAAAGAAAUAGAAAAAGAGACAGACUCUCUGUGUGUGAGUGGAUAAAGUCUAAGAGAACGACGAAAGCGACACAGAGUUUGAGGGGGACCUGCGAACUUUUUAUUAUCUUUUUCAUCUUGCGUAAAGAAUAUUAAUGACAGGAACUAAAAUGAGAAAAGACUGAAGAGUUGGGCAAGGCAGAUAGAUAGAUGAUCUGCAAUCUGCUGGUUAAAACCACAGAAACCGUUAAGAUUUUAGAUUUGCUUCAGGAAUACAACGGAGCAGGGACCCGGCUCAGGUGUGGUCCCAUGGGAUCCAGAGUGCUCACAGAGCAGCUGUCACAUGAACAUGGCCCUAGGGCUUGUGUUCUUAUCCGCUGGUAAACCCCAGCUCACUCUGAUGUAGGGCUCACAGCCCUGGAGGCCAGUGGGAGCGCAUGAAGUGGGUGAUCCGGUGGGCCCUGGAACAACUAGGAAGGAGAGAAUGGGACAGAGAGCUGAGGUUAGCACGUGCGCUCAUGCGUGCUUGCGUGCGUGCGUUUACGGUUGGACAAUACUGUGUGCGACUUGGGAAGCUUGACCAACCUGAACUAGCUUGACCAACCUAGAGGCUCUGUGUCUGGGUUAAGGAGACAUCCGACUACCACAGCACCUGGGCUCGUACACACUCCUGAAACAAGGCUUAUAUUUCCUCAAACGGAAGAGAGCUUAGCAUCUGUGUCCUGCCCCGAUAGGUGCUGGCAUUCUGGAGCAGAAGCAAGAGUAGAAUCGUGGUUUCCUCUGUUCCCCAUUGGAUGUCGGAACUCUUUAAAGGGGAGGCACAAUUGCAACUGGUGCUCAACAAGAGGAUGGAGGCUCGCCUUUCACACAGAUUCACAUGCUCAUUCACUUCCUUAACCCUUCCAGAAGCAUCCACUGGGACCAUCUUUCACUGGACCUUCUUUUUCCAACAGAAUCGUUUCCCUAAGCUUGUUUACUUCAUCUAAAUGGCAUACUGUAGUUUUUAAUGGGGAAAUAGAAGUCUCCAGGAAAAUUUUUAAAACACAGUGUUUCAGGGGCUGGACAGAUGGCUCAGGGAUCAAAAGUAUUUGCUACUUUUGCAGAGGACCUGGGUUUGGGUCUCAGGACCCACAGGUGGUCCACAACUGUCUUUAACUCCAGCUGUAGAGGAGCCUAUGCCUUCUUCUGUCCUCCAUGGGCACCACACAUACACGGGACACAGACAUACAUGCAGGCAAAAAAACCAAAUUAGUUAAUUAAUUAAAGGGGUUGGGGAUUUAGCUCAGUGGUAGAGCGCUUGCCUAGGAAGCGCAAGGCCCUGGGUUCGGUCCCCAGCUCCGAAAAAAAAAAUUAAUUAAAUAAAAUAAAAAGACUCAGCCAUCACUUGAAGUUGCCAGGAAUGGGGUCAAUGGAUGCUUUACUUGGCCAGCAGGCUAGGAAGCUCCCCUUGUCGAUUUCAGAGUAGCAGAUUCCAGCCAUUUUCAUUUUGCCUCUCUCUCUCUCUCUCUCUCUCUCUCUCUCUCUCUCUCUCUCUCUGGGUGUGUGUGUGUGUGUGUGUGUGUGUAAUUACAGUAUCAGAACUUAAAGAUCACUAUUGAAGGACACCCAAACUUCAUAAUGCACACUUAAUCAGAAAUAAUUUUAUUCAAUUUUAUGCUCUGUUUUGACAAAAAAGUCACUGCCCAUCCACUGUUAUUGUUGUUGUCGUCGUUUUGGACAGGGUUUCUCUGUGUAGCCCGAGCUGUCUUGGAACUCCCUCUGUAGACCAGGCUCAUAGAUCCGCCUGUCUCUCUUUUUUCUUUUUUUUUUUUUUUUUUUUUUUUUUUGGUUCUUUUUUUUUCGGAGCUGGGGACCGAACCCAGGGCCUUGCGCUUCCUAAGCAAUCGCUCUACCACUGAGCUAAAUCCCCAACCCCUCCGCCUGUCUCUUAAUUCAAGGCCUGCCCCAGGGACACCACCUCCUGCUGGCCAUUGCCCAUCCUAAGGUUCCUGGCUUCGAAGCAAACAUUACGUUGUUGCAAACAAGAGGAACACAGGAAAAGGCAGGUUUUUCGCAUAGCCCAGAGUCUUACCAAGAUUUUCUAAAAGGCAAAGUAACUAUGUGAAGGCAGAGGAUUUGGGUUGAAAUUGAACCAGAAUUUACUCUUGUCCUCCCCGAGCCAGUCAGUGUCCAGCCCCCUUAACUACAGUCAGUACCAACAACCAAAGACUGAGGAGUGACUUUGCGUGGCCUUGAGUGAGACCCAGACAAAAGGCAAAUGCUUUGAUAAGAAAUGUAAAAUACCCACUGUAAAGAGAAAAUAUAAAUUUGCUAAAAUCCACAUGUUCCCGUGCCAAGCCAAUACUUUGCUUAAUGAACACCCAUGUCUUUGUUUACUUACUUUGGAAAAUGUGUAAGUUCAAUAAGGCCUCAAAACUUAAGAAGCAAGGAAAGGUGCUUUCAUUAUAAAAUUACUAUAAAAUAUUUUAUGCAUUUAUAGGCUUACAUUUUAAAAAUCUGCCCUGUUCUAAAGACUUGUCAUCUUAGGUUGUAGUUUUUUUCCCUUUUGCUUUUUUUUUUUUUUUUUGAGCCAAGGUCUCACUAUAUAGACCAGGGUGGCCUAGAACUCAGAGAUUCGCCUGCCUCUGCUGUGGUUAAAGGCAUCUGUACCACACACCACAGGCUCAAACUGCCAUACCUGGCUUCAAUUUGAGGUUUCUUAAGAGUCACCAGUACCUUUGACCCCAGCACUCAGGAGGCAGAGGCAGGCAGAUAUCUGAGUUCGAGGCCAGCCUGGUCUACAGAGCGAGUUCCAGGUUAGCUAGGGUUACACAGAGAAACUCUGUCCUGAAAAAUAAGAAAAAGAAAAGAAAAGGAAAAAGGGGGGUCACAGGCAUUCCAAUAUCUGACGGUGUUGUGUUGAAGAGUGUAAUGAAUGACUAUGCAGACCUCAUACCCACUGUUCCUAGAACAAAGGGCAAAUAGGAUACCUGAAAAUCUGUCCUCUUCAUUUUGUGUCAGAUUAAUAUUCUAGAAAAGAUUUCCAGAAAGUGCUUUGAACUCAUGAGAAAAUGUCAAACAAAAAUUCAGGAUCUAGCUAGAUUUUAAGAUAUUAAGAUUUUUAAGAUAUUAAGAUAUUAGUGUGGGUUUUCUCUCUAGCUCCAUCCAUUGACUUGCAAAUGUCAUGGUUUCAAUUUUCCCUACAGCUGAAUAAAACCCCAUUGUGUACGUGAACCCCAUCUUCAUUAUCCAUCCACCAGCAGAUGGACAUUGUCUUAGGGUUUCACUGCUCUGAACCACGACCAAGGCAACUCUUAUGAGGACAACAUUUAACUGGCACUGGCUUACAGGUUCUGAGGUUCAGUCCAUUACCAUCAAGGAGGGAACAUGGCAGUAUCCAGGCCGCAGUAGCUGAAAAUCCUACAUCUUCUGAAGGCUGCUGGGAGAAGACUGGCUCCCAGGCAGCUAGGAGGAAGGUAUUAAAGCCCACACCCACAGUAACACACCCACUCCAACAAGGCCACACCCACUCCAACAAGGCCACACCCACUCCAACAAGGCCACACCCACUCCAACAAGGCCACACUCAUUCCAACAAGGCCACACCCCUCCAACAAGGCCACACCCACUCCAACAAGGCCAUUCCCACUCCAACAGAGCUGCACCUCCUAAUAGUGCCACUCCCUGAGUCAAGCAUAUUCAAACCAUCACAGACUGGAUCCAGGCAGUUUCUGUAUCCCAGCUAUUUAUCAAAAGAGCAGCAAUGGGGUUGGGGAUUUAGCUCAGUGGUAGAGCGCUUGCUGGCCCUGGGUUCAGUCCCCAGCUCCGGAAAAAAAAAAAAAGUUUAAAAAAAGAGCAGCAAUGAACGCAGAUGCACAUGUGUCUCCUUGGUAGGAAACAGAGUCCUUUGGAUAUAAAUAUAUAUACCAUAGUAAGGUAGGUCUUUCUAAUUCCUUGCCCCCUCCUGCCCACUAGGUACAAAGAUCAUACCAGUCAAACUUUAGCUUGGAGCAGGAAGGGACUGGUGAGUCCCCCACUACAUGAGGUGCUAUGCACGGACAGUUGAUGGCUUCUGGGGAAAGAAGAGGUCGUUUCCUUUACGGGUGUGUGUGUGUGUGGCUCCUGGUAGGUCAGCUAUACCUCAGUGAAUAGUCCUGCACCCACAAGUAUGUGGACUGAUGGAUUACUGAGUGAAAAUAAACAAACAGAGGGUAAUUCAGGGGGUAGGAAGAAGGGCGAGCAUUUGGAAGGAGUUAGGGAGGGAUGAAUUUAAUUAAAAUACAUUGCGUGAAACAUUGCAAGAAUAAAUCAAAAAUACUUAGAAAAGAAAUGAAGGCUUAUGACAUAGUGUGCUGGCUAGUUUUUAAUGUCAACUUGACACAAGCUAGAGCCACCUGGGAAGAAGGACUGUUAGUUAAGUAGAUGCUCCCACCAGAUUGGCCUGUAAGCAGAUCUGUGAAUCAUUUUCUUGGUUAAUAACUGAUAGGGGAGGACCAAGGCUACAGUGGUGGUUCCAUCUCUGGGCAGAUGGCCCUGGGGUCUAUGAGAAAGCAGGCUGAGCAAGCUAUGAGGAGCAAGCCAGUAAGCAGCUCCCCUCCAUGGCCUCUGCAUCAGCUCCUGCCUCCAGGUUCCAGCCCUGACUUCCUCCAGUGAUAGACUGUUACCUGGAAGUGUAACCUGAAAUAAUAAAUUAAUUAUAUAUUAUCAUUUAUAUAAUGUAAAUAUACAGUAUAUUUAUUUUAUAUAUACAAAUACAUAUACUUUAUACAUACAUGACAAAAUAUAAGAUAAUAUAUAAUUAUAUAUUUAUGUACAUAUAAUUAUAUGUUAAAAUAUAAUUAUAUGUGUUUUAUUACAUAAUGUAUAAUAUUUAAUAUUUAUAUAAUAUAUAUUCAUCACAGCAAUAAAAACUGUAACUAAAGACACUCAGAAAACUCACAUGCUCUAAAAAAGGGACAAGAUCUACUGAAAAACAAUAGUGCAAAAUAUUGAUAUUAUAAAUAGAUAUAUAAUUUAAGUUAUAUAUUUAAUGUUUCUUUUUCUGUUGCUUUUAAGGAUUUAUUUAUUUAUUAUAUAUAAGUACACUGUAGCUGUCUUCAGACACACCAGAAGAGGGCAUCAGAUCCCAUUACAGAUGGUUGUGAGCCACCAUGUGGUUGCUGGGAUUUGAACUUAGGACCUGUGGAAGAGCAGUCAAUGCCCUUAACCUCUGAGCCAUCUCUCCAGUCCCUAUAAAUGUUUCUUAUUCAUUAAAAAGUUUAAUAUUCAUAAAAAAAAAGAACGAGGAGCCCUAAAAGGUGACAAGAAAGAUAAAAACAUGUCAGGUCUCCCAGAGAAGAGCAUGGAUGUUUGUUCCUUCUGUGUUGGCGGGCUCCCGCCUCCAUUCUGCCCCAUGCUUCCUGUUGUUCUCUUUCUUCUGGGUCCGGUUACAUUCCCAGUACAGAGGAUUCUCUGAUCACCUUAGCUACUUUAUCUCUUACUCCAAAUGCUGUUCUGCCACCGGCAAUCUGAUUUCCCUUAAGUCACUGGCCCUCACUGAUCUCCACACGUCUGAGCCACGUGUGAGGUCGCCGGGUAAAGAAGCUCACCCUGCCCUCCUGUCAGUCUAGGGACUCUGUGUGGAGUUAGGACUUGUCCAAGGCCAGCUAGUCAGCGAGCGGGUGAUAGAGCUAAGUUUCAAAGUCACGUGGUAUUGUUCCUAACGUACGGUUCCUCUAACAAAUGCUAGGAACCUACCAUGCCCACGCGGCCAGGGCUGGGCUAAGCAUCCGGUAUAUGGUUAACACCAAACAGAAACAGUCCUUUGUCUCCUCUGUGACACUAGCUGGGGUUUUCCAGCGUAAAGUCCCCCAGAAUACAACACAAUGUAAGAGGACCACACCAACUUAGCCCAACAGAAAACCUGGGUUUGACUCCCAGCACCCACAUGGUGGCUCACAAUCAUCUCUAACUCCACUUCCAGGGCACCUGAUGGCCUCUUCUGGCUUCUGCGGACACUGAGCGCAUGUACUAACAGACAUGCAUGCAGGACUCAGCGAACACCACCGAAGAGGUCACAGAGAGAAUGUAAGAGUCGGAGGAGGAAGAGGAGCCUUGUGGGGUGGAGUCUUUCAGAUGCCGCAGGGCCUUUGCACUCAUGAACUGCAGCUGCUCUGACAUCAGACGUGCAUCAGACCCAGGCAGGAUUAGACCCAUCUCAAGCCUUCAUAGAUGCAAGACAGACCCAUGCAUCCCACCCCUCCCUGGGGAUGUAUAGGCUGUUAAUGGCUGCUGAGUGUAGGGGACCUUUAAUUCAGUGGUCUUGUAAGGCUAAGUGAGCCUUAGCUACCAGGAGACCCCCAAAUGAGACUCAAGAAUGGAGUUCGAUGCAAAAGCAAGAGGUUUAUUGUUCCAGAACUCUGGGGUCAUCCUGCACCCAGAGGAGAGGUGACCCCCUUCUCUUCCUUUCAUAAGAUUUUUAUACAAUUUUUAAGGGCAGAUUAUAGCAAUACCAAUUAGGAUCGCAAUGACUGGUGGUCAUGGUGACCUUUACAUUAAUUGGCUGGGCAGGGAGGGGGACUCAGGGACCCUCCCUAAGGCCCGGCGCAAAGUUCCAAGUCAGGACCCUCUCUCAGUGUAGCCUCUGGUAUGCUACUAUAAAUAACCCCUCACCCAUGUGCAUGUAAGUAGCUCUACUCAAAGUCAAUGGGUCACCCCCCAAAUCAGUCAAUUAUUAAAUAAAAUAAAGGGAAAUAACUAGCUAGGAAGAGGAUGACAGUCAUACAGGGUGAGGGGGACAAGAAAGCAAUGAAGGGGACUAUGACUAAAACAAAUUAUGCACAUGUAUGACAUCGUCAAAAUGUCAUGAAAUACAUAGGAGAAAGUGUGAGGUGCUCCAGGAUAAACAAAAACCAAAGAGCCUGCCCCAAAGCAUGCUCUAGAAAAGGAUAAACAAAAUGAUGUCAUAAAUUAACCUGCAUAAAAAAGAUCUUCAUUAAAGAUUAAUACAUGGACAAGCUCAAGACUCAAUAUUAUUGCUACUUUUUUUUUUUUUAAAGGAACCUUUGAUUUUUUUUUCUUUUCUUUUUUUCUUUUUGGAGCUGGGGACCGAACCCAGGGCCUUGCGCUUGCUAGGCCAAGCGCUCUACCACUGAGCUAAAUCCUCAAACCCCUUCGACCUCUUAAAAAUGGGAGGCAAACAAUUGAAACAAGGGAGAGACAGAAGGUUCCAGAACAGGAAAGCAGACGUCAGUACUUCUGAGAAAGUCAAAGGCCCCCGCUUGACCUGUAGUCAACACUCAAAAAGAAAAGCAUUUGCAAAUGCAUACACAAAGGAUGUAGCAUGCAGUUUUGAGUCAUGAUCACGGAAGUAACGUAUGAUUCACGUGCUCCUUGGUAGAUGCGUGCCCGCUCUACAGCAUCAAUGAGUUACACGCAGGGUAACGCAGUGAGGUACCAUCGUGAUGGGAAGCACUGCGCUGGGGCGCUGGGGAUGGUUUAGACGAAGAUGUAGUGUGGGCCACGCUUUGAGUGUCCUCAAAGAAAAAGUGAACGCGGCUUCACUUUGCUGAGCAUUGCCUAACUCCAAAGACAACGUGGCUACAGGGAGAAAUGAUGUCUGUGCUGGCCUGAGCCUAAGAUCUUUCCAGUUCCCCUGAGUCACCCUUGGAAACCCUGGCAGGUAUAAACAAACGUUGGUUCGUAACACUGGGAGCACCAAGCUAAGGAAGACCGGCUAGUAAAGUCAGACUCCCACAGGCUUUUUGCAAGGGGAUUUAACAACUUCGCUUUGGGCAGAAAAACCUGGGUCCUGAGAAGAGGCUGCCCACAGCGGGGGGGGAAAAAAAGAGCAGAUUAAAUCCUUCUGUGGUCUCACUAGUGUUGCUGUAACAAGAAGUAUCUUUUUUUUUUUUUUUUCUUGCAUGUGCAAAAGUAGCAGGCUCUGAACAGGAGACACCAGAAUGACAAAAAUCACGAGGGAACGGGAGGGAGAAAGGCUUCCCAUAGUGAGAAUCCACAGCGUCAGACUGCACCAGUGUCUUUACACAUAGAAUGUCCCAGGCCCAGGGCUCAUAACCGCAGCAAACCUUUAUGCCUCUAUGUGUUUCUUGUUCUUCGGCAAACAGAAAGAUAAGGUUUUAAUUCUAGUGAUAAGGAAACCAAGGGACAGAGUUCAUGUGGUUAGUAGACUUUUGUCUCCCAGAUGCAAGAGAUUUAAUCCAAUUUUAGACCUUUUUGAUUUUCUCACAGUUGAACAUGUUUUACUAAAUUUACUUUGUAAUGUUAUGUGCAUGCGCUGUAAUUAACUCCUCUCACACCUCCCCGCUCUCCCUCUCUUUCUCCAUUCAUGACCUCUUUUCCUUUAUAAAUAUGCAUUUAUAAAUACAACUUGCUGGGUCCAUUAAUUGCUAUUAAAAACAUAUGUAUAUGUUUUUAGAGCUGACCACUUGGAAUUGGAUAACCAGUUAGGGGGCCCAUCGCUGGAGAACACUAAUUCUCCCUUUCCCAAUUAAUGACUAUUAAUCGCCCGUAGCUCAUAAUCUAGAAAUGGGACCUCCAUCCACAUUGUCUUGUCAACAGGUACCAUCAUCUGGGAUGAGCCCAAAGGACUGGUUCAGAGAUUAGGAAACUGGUUAUCAGGGAGUUAAAGUGAACCACUCAUGGUCAGAGUAGUAGUUAUGGAACUUGGAUGACAAAGCCAGGUCCUAGAGUCACUUCCAAAACUGUGGCUUGCUUUGUAGGGGCAUCUGUGAAAAUGGAGAGAUUGGAAAAUUAUUUAUAUCUCUUUUUACGUAUAUGAGCGUUUUGCCUACAUGCAUGUUUAUACAGAAGUCAGAAGAUGGCGUCGGAUCCCUUGGAACUGGAAUUUGUGGACAGUCGUGAACUUCUACAUGGGUCCUAGAAGCGAACCCGAGUCCUCUGGGCCACUAGGUAAACAAUCCACAUCCUGUCUCAACAAGUACUCCUAACCACUGAACCAUCUCUCCAGACCAAAACUUUUUAAAAAGAAAAAAGGACCAAUGUUUAAUAUCUGUUGCUAAUUGGAUACAUUCUCAUCACCCAAAGCAGAUCCCAGACCUACAGAAGGCGGCGCCUCCUCACUCAGGCUUAAAAAUUACACCGCACCUCGAACAACUAAUGUACAAAUAAAUACAGAACUGAUUGUGGACAUGAAAAGUCAGGAAGGCUACCCUUGCCAAGAACCGGUGUGGGAGGAAGUGUUAUUAAAUAUUUAUCAGCACCAAUGUACAAUAGGAGCUCUUGUGCCAAACAUGUAAAGUCCUUGCCCCCAAGGAGUUGUGUCAGCUCUAAAGCUGGUCCGUCUGGAAAUGCAUGUUGUGGUGCUUUGUGAGGUAAACAGUCCGUGCCGCGACCUGGACAAGUUAUCGUUUGCAUAAGCUUUUUUUUUUUUUUAGGACAAAUACUUAAAUACUUAAUACUUGAUAUACUUUUUUAAAAAAUAUAUUAUUUAUUUAAUGUAUGUGAGGAUACUGUAGCUGUCUUCAGACACACCAGAAGAGGGCAGCAGAUCCCAUUACAGAUGGUUGUGAGCCACCAUGUGGUUGCUGGGAAUUGAACUGAGGACCUCUGGAAGAGCAUCCAGUGCUCUUAACCACUGAGCCAUCUCUCCAGUCCCAAUACUUGAUAUACUUAAAUAUUUAUGCAAGAGUGUUGCGUGCUGUGGCCGUGUUGAUCAUUUUCAAAGUUUCCCUCUUUCUUCCCUCUCCCGUUGCUUUACUCUAUCUGUCCACACAGCACAGUCCCUCGGGGUUGGGCGGGCGGCACCCUCAACGAUGCCAACCCUGGAAAGCUUUGAUUGUGUGAUUCUGUAGAAUACACUGUCAGGUGAUCUGAGGCAGUCUUGCUCAUAGGAACCAGACAAAUUAGUAAUGGCACACAUGUCAAGCCCAUUAGGUAAUUUGAUUCAACAAACGAUAAGCUGAUAGCACCUUUAUCCAGGGUGUGGUAGGAGGAGACACGGAAAGCAUGAGGCUGCCUUUGAUGGAAAAACAUUUAACUUAGCUCAGAGGUCCUGAGAAAGAUAUUACAUUUAUCACGUACAUGAGUCUGCCCAGGGUUUGAAUUGCCAAAGGAAGAUGCUAUUCAGGAAGGCCAGACUAAAACAGCAGCAAUGUGACCAGGGAGAGUUAUUAUAAUAAAAAAAGAAUGCAGAAUUAGUCAUCAACAUCUCCAUGGACGUUUCAAUGAAUGGAAAUCAUUAUAGAAAGGCAUGACUAGUCAAAAGACAGAGAACAUCAGACUGAGGGGUGCCCAGCCCCAGCUGAUACAUCUAUUACACAUCCCUACACCUAAGCCUCAGGGAUCAUCACAGAAGAGGGAGUGGAAUGAUUUUCAGAGCCAGGGGACCAGGAAGUCUGCUGGAAGACAGUGUCUUCGUUAUGACAGAGAAGCCGCACCCGUGAGAGCACAACAAUAUGGCCGCCUAAAGGAGAGCAAGGGCAAUGCCUAUAACAUGAAAUAUCACAAGUCUCCUAGAGGGAGAAGGACAGGAAAUUAAUGUCUGUGGAGAAGGGAAGAACCAGUCUUCUCUACAGAAAAGCCCCUGAUGGGGUUAUCCAAUCUCUGCGGGUCAGAUCUGAGCAUAUGAAUAGACCAGGGAUAUUAAAUAAAUUCAGUAGGGGUGUGUGUGUGUGUGUGUGUGUGUGUGUGUGUGUGUGCGCGCGCGCUCGUGUAUAACAAUAAUAAUUAUAGAUUAAGAGGUCAUAGAUUUUUGAGGGAGUGAAAGGUUAUGGAAGGAGUUGGAGGAGGAGAGCGAGGGAGGAAAGUUAUGUAAAUACAGUAGUCUCAUGAAAUGCUCAAAAAACAUUUAAAAUUCAAUUUAAAAGACCACAGGCAAAACUUCAUCCCUCCCUCCCUCCCUCCCUUCCUUCCCUUCUUCAUUCAUGUGAUGUAUGGAUUCUGCAUUCAAAGGCUUGGCGCGGGGUUGGGGAUUUAGCUCAGUGGUAGAGCGCUUGCCUAGGAAGCGCAAGGCCCUGGGUUCGGUCCCCAGCUCCGAAAAAAAGAACCAAACAAACAAACAAAACAAACAAACAAACAAACAAAAAAACCAAAGGCUUGGCGCAUCCGUGGAAAAUGGCAAUACCAGUGCAUCGAUGCAGGAUUGAAUGACAGAUUUAAAGGCUGGACGUGUGCAGGUCUAUGAGACAACAGGGGCAGUAAAUUAUCUGUCAGUGCGAGCAUAAAGGACAAUCUGAGCAGCAAAAGCACAAUACUUGAGAGUGGCCUUGAAAUUGAACACGAAUCACAGGAAACCACGGUGGACAGAUGAGGUCAUCUUGGUGAGGACAUCAGGGCGAGGAGUAGCUGGGACUCAAUGGGGCUUGACCAAACGUUCAAGGAAGAAGCAGGCGUAGGCGCCUUCCCUCUGGGCAAAGGCUCAUCCGGCCUAACCCUGAAAGCAACAGUGAGUACAGGAGAGGAACACUCCAAAAGAAAUCCACCUAGCCGCAGAUUAAACCGGUGGGAGGGAUGGGGUGGGGGCGGUCCUUAAUAAAAUGCAGGCUUGUGAUUGGCUCCUGGAAGGAAGCCCUUAAGGCAGUGUUUCUCAACCUGUGGAUAGAAAGGACUUUCUUUGGGGGUUGAAUGACCCUUUCACAGGGUUUGCAUAUCAGAUAUCCUGCAUAUCAGAUCUUCACAUCACUGUUCAUAACAAUAUGGAGAUUACAGUUCUGAAGUAGCAGCAACUAUAGUUAUAGUUGGGGGAUGGGAGUCGUCACACCUGGAGGAACUGUAUUAAAGGGUCACAGCGUUAGGAAGGUCGAGAACCACUGACUUAAGGCAUGGGAACACACUACUGGCCUCUGUUAACACGCGUGUGGAAAGAGGAGAGUGCGGGGCAGCUCAUGAGGGGAAGGUGGCGUCUGCAUCCCCUGAGCAUGCUGAGAAGCCUGCACAGGUGGAGACUAAACAACUAGUCAGAACAGCUAAUGGGUUGGAGAGACGGCUCCGCGCUUAAGAGCAUGAGCAUGGAUUGCUCUUCCAGAGAACCCGGGUUUGAUUCCCACCACCCGCAUCAAGCACUUCACAUCCACCUGUAACUCAGGGUUCAUGUGCGCAUAGCACCCCCAAAAUAAACACAAUUUAAAACAAUAAAAUUUUUUUUUUCUUUUCUUUUUUUUUCAGAGCUGGGGACCGAACCCAGGGCCUUGCGCUCGCUAGGCAACCGCUCUACCACUGAGCCAAAUCCCCAACCCCAACAAUAAAAAUUUUUUUUAAAAAAAACUAACACUUAAGGCCGGGAGAUAACAUAAACAUAAGUAAAAUUUACUAGAAGGAGCGGGUGCAUAUGCAUAUUUCUUUACAUGGUAGAGUUGGUACACUGUCAUUUUUAAAAUAAAAUACAUUACUUAUACAAGAUGUACAGGUGCCUAAUACCAACAACUAUAUACUUAGUAACGGAUUUCUAAUCAGUUUCUGAUUUUCGGUGAGGACAUUUGCUUUCAAUAGGGCAAUAGGCAUGAAUCGAGUUGGAUUUUAAAGGUGCAGUCAACUACCGUCACACUGCCCAUAGGAUUCCUCACAACUCACAAAUCUUAGAAAUUUGUGGAUUUUUUUGGGGGGGGGGGUUCUUUUUUUUGGAGCUGGGGACCAAACCCAGGGCCUUGCACUUCCUAGGCAAGCGCUCUACCACUGAGCUAAAUCCCCAACCCCAGAAAUUUGUGGACUUUUAAGUGAAUUCACACUGCUCCGAAUCUUAAAAAUACGGAGCAGUGUGAAAACCUGUUAGCUCAGGACAUUCCAGGGCCUCUUACACAGUUCCUGGUUCAGGCAGCAGGGAGACAGCCAGCGAGGCUCACUCGCUUUCCCAGAACAAACUUUGCCUUUCGAGUGCCUUAGCUCAAAGGAUCACUGAAAAGUUCAUAUCAGGCAAAUCCUCCUGAGACUGGAGGAUCCCGAGUUUUAUCCCUCAGGGGUGAACGUGCCAUACAGCUUUACUGAAAAGGCUUCUAAUCUGAUGUGAUCCCUGUAAGGACAUCUGGGUGACAGUGAUGAUCCAGGUUAGCCUGAUCUCCAACUGUGAGGCCAUCCUGUCAAGUUUGUUAUAUGUGUAUAGGGUUAAAGGGUGUUUGCAUCAUCCAGAAAAAGUCUCCCCAGACUAGGGUUUCUCUGCAGCAGGUUAAUCUGAAGACCCGCUCUACUAGAACCAGAUUAAACUCGCUGUCUGUCUGUCUGUCGGUCUGUCUGCCUGCCUGCCUGCCUGCCUACCUACCUACCUACCUAUCUACCUAUCUGGAGCUCUAUUUGUACCAUCAGUGCACAAGAUUUAAAUAAGUAAAAUGUGUGUUUCUCAGUAACCACAAGCUCCUGGUUCUCAUGAGCGCUCAGGGUGACCACAAGCUUAAAGGCAGUCAUCUCAGGUGGACUUUGGAUUGGUUUUUGGGAGAUCAGUGACAGGUCUGAUAAAAAGAGCAUAGACAUCCAGAUACCAGAAGAAGCAGAACAGGCCAACGGAAGAUGAGAGGGAGAUGCUGAGGACACAGUGAAAGAAUCUGAAAGGCUCACUGAGACUGACCGGCAGGCUACAGCACAUUGACAGAGCAAGUACAGGGAAAUCUCAAACAUUAAGGUGGCUGACAAGGUAUUUCAAGAAUGGGGACAUCUAGCCCCUGCACAGUGAUUCGUGCCUGUAAUCCCAGCAUUAAGGAGACUGAGACGUGAGCACCAAGAGUUUGAGGCCAUCCUGGGCUACAUAGCAAGACCCUGUCUCCAGAUAAAACCUCGACAAGAAACAGGGUGUGGUGGCACAUGCCUUUAGUCCUGGUUCUCAGGAGGCAGAGACAGGCAGAUCUCUGUGAGUUCAAGUACAGCCUGAUCUACACAGAAUCCCGGACUAGCUCAGAACAUUAUCUAAAAGCAAACAAACACACAAACAGAGCAAAACAAUAAACCCAACAAGCAAACAAAGCCAGUAUAAGUAUUAUAUAAAAGUUUCUUGUACUGAGUAUAUUAAUCGUAGAGUCUCCUCUCUUGAUAGCCUGGAAAUCUGCAUAGGGACACUUUUGUGUUUGAGUUUUAUUCACAGAAACCAAGGAAGGGAGCUUGAAUUCCACGUCUGAUUCCACGGGCGAGAGACAGUGAGACACAAACCCACAAAUGGCCCCAGUAGAGCAUUAGCAGAAGCAAGCUCAGAAGCCGGAGGACAUGCUGCCCUUGAACAGCUCAGACAUCACAGCGUCUGGCAACCCAUGAGAAAAAAAAAUGCUCCCAGCCAACAUUUGGGUGGUUGGAAUUGAUGUCUUUGCCGGUCUCUUCACGAGUUUCAGGUGGAUACAGGACUUUCAGGUGGGUAGCUUUUUAAACUGAAGAGCACACAAAGUAAUAAGGCGACAUCUUUUGGGAGUGCUCGCUGAAAUCUGAUAACCCCACGGGUUAACUAGAAGCUAAGAAGUUGUAAACAAAAUUUUUUUAUGUCCUGUAUUAAAUUUUCUUUCUUAACAUUUACUAAGUUAUUUUUCCAAGAUACACCUGACUUUCCUUUGAAAGACAAGAGAGCACGGUGCUCAGUUAGUAAGAACCAUGAACUAAGCUUGUCUUUCAAAGGAGACAUAGCUAUCGACCUCUCCCCUCCAGAGACGUUUAUAUAGGAGCCCAGCUAUUUGCUCUUCUCUUGGAAGAUACCAAAGCCAAAUGAACCAAGACCCCCCUCUCUCACACGGGAUGCUGUUCUCUUCAAAGAAACACAUUUUCUGUCUGAAGAAUGAACUGAAAAUUGAGGCCAUCGAAGAUCUGGAUGCUGCUACCCAUGCGUCUCCAUCCAGCUGCACCAAUCACCAGUGUCUGAGCAACCGGAAGGACUCAGAGACGAACAGCGCGGAUAGGGAGAUGCCUGGCCCCGCAGCAAAGGUGUGAGCGCUCUUCACUCUUUUCUUUUCUCCCCACAGAAAUGCCCCAGAUGUCCUCUCUGGGUCUCUGUGAUGAGCUUGUGACACUCAGACGCCGGCAGAGCGUGCUACAAGCUGUCUGUGCAGCUCUGUGUUUCUUCGUCUGUUAAAAGGGCGCCGACCUUCGGUACAGUUAUUUUCAUAAUUCAUUAAUUCUCUGACUCUCUGUUGUGCUCCCUGCCAAGGGAGUAGUUUUCUUGCAUAUAUUCUUCAACCCCCUGUUGUUGUAAAAUUAUAAAAAAAUAAAAACUGUCUUUUACCCCCCUCUA